rnacentral:rRNA from 1 species
UGGGGAAUAUUGGACAAUGGGGGGAACCCUGAUCCAGCAAUGCCGCGUGAGUGAAGAAGGCCUUCGGGUUGUAAAGCUCUUUUGUCAGGGAAGAAACGGUGAGAGCUAAUAUCUCUUGCUAAUGACGGUACCUGAAGAAUAAGCACCGGCUAACUACGUGCCAGCAGCCGCGGUAAUACGUAGGGUGCAAGCGUUAAUCGGAAUUACUGGGCGUAAAGCGUGCGCAGGCGGUUUUGUAAGUCUGAUGUGAAAUCCCCGGGCUCAACCUGGGAAUGGCAUUUGUGACUGUAGAGCUAGAGUACGGUAGAGGGGGAUGGAAUUCCGCGUGUAGCAGUGAAAUGCGUAGAUAUGCGGAGGAACACCGAUGGCGAAGGCAGCCCCCUGGGUCAAGAUUGACGCUCAUGCACGAAAGCGUGGGGAGCAAACAGGAUUAGAUACCCCCGUAGUCCCUGAGCGGGCUGGCAAGGCGCAU